AUGGAUUCCGGCGGGUGGAUCUCCACCAUGGUCAGUUCGGUGGGUUGGAAAGCUGGUGAUCCAGUCCUCAGGAGGUAUGGGCAUGCCACAAUUCAGGCUUACCGCCGGACUCUUCACGUCAGACUGCUUUGGCUUGUGGACAAUGGGCCAUGGCUGCACCUCUCAAAUCUCACCACCACCGAUUAUGGACUUGCGAGUUUUUGGCUAUACGAGCUCAAGAAAGCACUGACGGAUGCGGACGCCCUGCUGGAGAACUGGAGGUGUGAGAUCCUGCGAGCGGAGAGUAUCGGAAGCCGCGGCACAGCCGCAAAGGUACGGCGGACCUUCUCUGGUGUCCUGGAUCCCCUCAAGGUUAUUCCUCGUCAUAGCAAGGAAUUCGACGUGGCGCUACAGGAGGAGCUGGCGGAUGUGUUUGUCUCAAUAGUGGGGAUGGGUGGGAUUGGGAAGACCACGCUAGCUCGGAUGGUCUACGACGACGAUAUAGUUCAGCAGCACUUCCCUGUGCGUUUGUGGGUGACGGUCUCUGAAGACUUCGAUACCACUACAAUUUUGCAAGGGAUUGUUGGUCCAUCAAUCCAGGGUACGUCUUUGUUGCAGCUCCAUGUCCGAGAAGUUCUCUGUGGGAAGCGGUUUCUGCUUGUAUUGGAUAGUGUUUCCCGUUUCAAUGCAGAAAAAUGGGACAGGCUGAAAAUUUCCCUUGAAUGCUGUGGCCUUGGAAGUGCUGUUCUUAUGACGACCCGAAGUGAGAAUAAAUCUAGCACCUCCCGUGCUUAUUACCUGGGAAAACUGGCUGAUGAAUAUGUCUGGUCUAUUGCAAAGCAGAUAGCAUUUGUCAAAGAAGAAGAAAGCCAAGACCUUGUCCACAUAAAAGAGGCUGUUGUUACCAUUAGUGAUGGAAUACCUCUUUCUGCUGCUAUCCUGGGGGGUUUACUACGUUCAAGACUAUAUUGUGAGUUGGAUGAUUGGCUUGUUUCAUGGGCAGAUGCAUGCGAGGAGAGAUCAGUUUGGAGGACAGAGCUUCAUGGAGAAUGGUGUCAAAGUGAUGCACAAAGAGAAGAUAUUGUCUUUCUUGCCAUUGAGUUAAGUUACAAGCACUUACCUGCAUGUAUUAAAGGAUGCUUCGCCUUUUGUUCAUUAUUCCCAAGGACUCACAAGAUAGACAAGGAUAUGUUAAUUCAAUUAUGGAUGGCUAACGAUCUGAUCCCAUCUGAUGAUGCUAUGGAUCUGGAAGCAAAGGGUUCCUGGAUUUUUGAUGAACUUGUCUCAAGGUGCUUCUUUCAGGUCACCAAGCGUGCUCAACCAUCUCAGAGUAAUAGGACAAAAUGGAGGAUGCAUGAUCUUGUCCAUGAUACUGCAGUUUUGAUUUCAAACGUUGAGUUUACUACCGUCCUAUCCUCUGUAAUGUUUGGAAGUCCCCAUGUUCAAAGUCUCCAUCACAUCUCAAUAGUCAGCUGCAGAAAUAAAGUUACUUGCAUUCCUCUGCUUCCUGCUCCAAAUCUCCCUAACCUACGCACACUACUAUCACUAGAAGAACAAUAUCCUUUGUAUGAAUGGAAUGUUGAUUUCUCAAAAUGCAAGUCCUUGAGAGUAUUAGACCUACAUGGUUUCCAUUCUUCUCAAGUAAUGUUACCGUCCAGGUUUUUGGAGCAUCUUCGGUAUCUUGACCUCUCCAACAGUUGGAUCACAUCUAUUCCAGAUGAUGUUGUAUAUCUCUACAAUCUGCAAACUCUAAGACUCUCAGAGUGUUGUUACUUGAAACAGCUCCCAAAAGACUUGAGAAAACUGAAAAGCCUUAGGAAUCUCUACCUUGAUGGAUGUUUUCGGCUUGAGAAUGUUCCCCUUAAUCUUGGACAGUUAAAAGACCUGCAUAUACUUACAACUUUCAUAGUAGGCACUGAUGAUGGUUGUGGAAUUGGACAGCUAAAAGGCCUGAACCUUGAGGGCCAGUUAGAGAUAUAUAAUCUGAAGAAUGUCAAGAGGAUUGAAGAUGUGAAGGGUGUGAACCUUCAUACAAAAGAAAAUUUGCGUCAUCUAACUUUAUGUUGGGGCAAGUUUAGGGAUGGAAGUAUGCUGGCUGAAAAUGCCAAUGAAGUAUUGGAAGCUCUUCAACCUCCUAAGAGGUUACAGUCUCUCAAAAUAUGGCGAUACACGGGCCUAGUUUUCCCUCGAUGGAUUGCAAAAACUUCGUCACUACAGAAUCUAGUCAAACUCUUUCUGGUAAAUUGUGAUCAGUGCCAAAAGCUUCCCACAAUAUGGUGCCUUAAAACACUUGAGCUUCUAUGCCUAGAUCAGAUGAAAUGCAUUGAAUACAUAUGCAACUAUGAUACAGUUGAUGCGGAAGAAUGCUACGACAUCUCACAAGCUUUCCCAAAGUUGAGGGAGAUGACGUUACUAAACAUGCAAAGUUUGAAGGGAUGGCAAGAAGUUGGAAGAUCUGAAAUUAUUACUCUGCCUCAGCUAGAAGAGAUGACAGUGAUUAACUGUCCAAUGUUCAAGAUGAUGCCGGCCACUCCGGUGCUCAAGCAUUUCAUGGUAGAAGGAGAACCAAAGCUAUGUUCAAGCUAUGUUCUUUAGCGAUGUUCAA
rnacentral:lncRNA from 1 species